rnacentral:rRNA from 1 species
UGGGGAAUAUUGGACAAUGGGCGAAAGCCUGAUCCAGCCAUGCCGCGUGUGUGAAGAAGGUCUUCGGAUUGUAAAGCACUUUAAGUUGGGAGGAAGGGCAGUAAGCGAAUACCUUGCUGUUUUGACGUUACCGACAGAAUAAGCACCGGCUAACUCUGUGCCAGCAGCCGCGGUAAUACAGAGGGUGCAAGCGUUAAUCGGAAUUACUGGGCGUAAAGCGCGCGUAGGUGGUUCGUUAAGUUGAAUGUGAAAGACCCGGGCUCAACCAGGGAACAGCAUCCAAAACAGGCGCACGAGAGUAGGGCGGAGGGGGGGGGAAUUUCCUGUGUAGCGGUGAAAAACGUAGAUAUAGGGAGGAGCACCAGUGGCGAAGGCGACCGCCUGGGGGCAUACUGACACUGAGGUGGGAAAGCGUGGGGAGCAAAAAGG